AUGGGCAGAAUUUUCCUUGAUCAUAUUCGUGGUACCUGUCCAUUUUCUUAUGCAAACUGUGAUACAAUCCUGACCAACCGCUCAGAAUUCAUCUCCACUUGGUUCACAGGCGCCACUGGCAGAGCAUUUCUUUUUAACAAGGUAGUGAACCUGCAGUACAAUGAAGCUCUAGAUUGGGUCAUGCUCACUGGCCACCACAUGGUCCAACAUGUGAGCUGAAAAACUGCAGCAGCAAACUGGGAUGGAUCUACGAGUUUGCCACCGAAGACAGCCAGUGUUACAAGGAAGGCCAUGUGAUCCUGGAACGUGCUCUAGUUCGAGAGAUUGAGGGCUCUAAGGAGCAUGUACCAUCUGAUAAU
rnacentral:lncRNA from 10 species